rnacentral:rRNA from 1 species
GACGAACGCUGGCGGCGUGCUUAACACAUGCAAGUCGAACGGAAAGGCCCUGCCUUUGUGGGGUGCUCGAGUGGCGAACGGGUGAGUAACACGUGAGUAACCUGCCCUUGACUUUGGGAUAACUUCAGGAAACUGGGGCUAAUACCGGAUAGGAGCUCCUGCUGCAUGGGGGGGGUUGGAAAGUUUCGGCGGUUGGGGAUGGACUCGCGGCUUAUCAGCUUGUUGGUGGGGUAGUGGCUUACCAAGGCUUUGACGGGUAGCCGGCCUGAGAGGGUGACCGGCCACAUUGGGACUGAGGUGCGGCCCAGACUCCUACGGGAGGCAGCAGUGGGGAAUCUUGCCCAAUGGGCGGAGGCCUGAUGCAGCAACGCCGCGUGCGGGAUGACGGCCUUCGGGUUGUAAACCGCUUUCGCCUGUGACGAAGCGUGAGUGACGGUAAUGGGUAAAGAAGCACCGGCUAACUACGUG